rnacentral:rRNA from 1 species
CCCUUGGGGAUUUUCCGCAAUGGGCGAAAGCCUGACGGAGCAACGCCGCGUGAGGGAUGAAGGCCUCUGGGCUGUAAACCUCUUUUUUCAAGGAAGAAGAUCUGACGGUACUUGAAGAAUAAGCCACGGCUAAUUCCGUGCCAGCAGCCGCGGUAAUACGGGAGUGGCAAGCGUUAUCCGGAAUUAUUGGGCGUAAAGCGUCCGCAGGCGGCCUUGUAAGUCUGUUGUUAAAGCGUGGAGCUUAACUCCAUUUAAGCAAUGGAAACUGCAAGGCUUGAGUGUGGUAGGGGCAGAGGGAAUUCCCGGUGUAGCGGUGAAAUGCGUAGAUAUCGGGAAGAACACCAGUGGCGAAGGCGCUCUGCUGGGCCAUAACUGACGCUCAUGGACGAAAGCCAGGGGAGCGAAAGGGAUUAGAUACCCCUGUAGUC